GCUGGGUAUGGGGCGCAUGCCUGUAAUCCCAGUGACUUGGGAGGCUGAGGCAGGAGGACUGUAAAUUCAAAGCCAGCCUCAG
rnacentral:sRNA from 1 species